rnacentral:rRNA from 1 species
UAUUUAUCUCGAGAGAAACACAGACUCUACCUGCUAAAUAGUACGGUUGCACUUUUAUGUGGACUCUGUCCUUGUGCCUCUGGUACUUGGAUAGAACCACAUAAGCAGGUGAAACUUCUUAGAGGAACUGGCGCUCGAAAAGGCGCACGAGAAAGAGCAAUAACAGGUCUGUGAUGCCCUAAGAUGUCCGGGGCCGCACGCGUGCUACAAUGACGAUGCUACUGAGCAUGAUUAACUUGUCCGAAAGGAUCGGUGAAACUGUUCAAUCAUCGUCGUGACUGGGAUUGGGGUUUGCAAUUGUCCCCCAUGAACCAGGAAUUCCUAGUAAGCACAAGUCAUAAGCUUGUGCUGAUUACGUCCCUGCCCUUUGUACACACCGCCCGUCGCUACUACCGAUUGAAUGGUUUAGCAAGGACAUUGGAUUGAGCCCUUGCGGUUUCGGCUGCUUGGGUUUGAGAAGAUGUCCGAACUUGAUCAUUUAGAGGAAGUAAAAGUCGUAACAAGGUUUCCGUAGGUGAACCUGCGGAAGGAUCAUUAUCAAGUUUCCUAUACAACAUUCCGACUAUGCCGCAUGUGCCAUUAUGCUAUGCCUGGGCUUGUAUCUGAUUUACAGAUCGCUCGGUACGCUAUGGUAUGUGUGUGUGAUGUUAGCGGUUUGUGAAUGAGAUCCAUGCCCGGGUAUUAUGGCCCACUGCAUGGAUCGCCUCUAUGAUACAGAAAUGUGCCUGACGGUUCGGAUUGUAACACUCUUACGGUCUGCGCUUAGUCUUCCACAUCUGCCGACUCUGAUUGGAGCGGCCAAUGAGUUGCGCGUAGGUGGUAACGUUCUGCGCGUAUGCUCUUGGUCGUACCCUAUGUACUGUAUUUAUUCAGUCAGAGACCCGGUGCGUUACAAACAUUCUCCCUUCGGGUGAGUCCCAUGUGUACCUUCCAAACGUUUUAAACAAUCUGGCUAAGUGCAGUGCUGAGUGUCGGUAUGCAAGUACUGACGAGGUGCUGUUCUGGCUCGGUGCGAGUUGCCUUCGGGUGACAAGUGCAACUUUACAACUGCAAGUGGUGAUCACUCGGCUCGUGUGUCAUGACCAACACCCCCACUAGACAAUGAACCGGAGCCCGAAACGGCCUCGUCAGUACUGCAUACGAACCUCAGCCUGGAAUAAGGCGAAUUGUUAAACGUUGGAGUACCAUGGAACUCACCGAAGGGAGAAAUGUUUUGUAACGGCAUC